CCUACGGGUGGCAGCAGUGAGGAAUAUUGGUCAAUGGGAGAGAUCCUGAACCAGCCAAGCCGCGUGAGGGAAGAUGGCCCUCUGGGUUGUAACCCUCUUUUGUCGGAGAGCACAACCCGGGACGAGUCCCGGACUGCGUGUAUCCGACGAAAAAGCAUCGGCUAACUCCGUGCCAGCAGCCGCGGUACUACGGAGGAUGCGAGCGUUAUCCGGAUUUAUUGGGGUUAAGGGGUGCGUAGGCGGUCUGUUAAGUCAGCGGGAAAAUUGCGGGGCUCAACCCCGUCGAGCCGUUGAAACUGGCAGACUUGAGUUGGCGAGAAGUACGCGGAAUGCGCGGUGUAGCGGUGAAAUGCAUAGAUAUCGCGCAGAACUCCGAUUGCGAAGGCAGCGUACCGGCGCCAGACUGACGCUGAGGCACGAAAGCGUGGGGAUCGAACAGGAUUAGAUACCCUGGUAGUC
rnacentral:rRNA from 1 species